GCAGUCGAGCGAACCCUUCGGGGUUAGCGGCGGACGGGUGAGUAACGCGUGGGAACGUGCCCUUCUCUGCGGAAUAGGCUCGGGAAACUGGGUUUAAUACCGCAUACGCCCUUCGGGGGAAAGAUUUAUCGGAGAAGGAUCGGCCCGCGUCUGAUUAGGUAGUUGGUGGGGUAAUGGCCUACCAAGCCUACGAUCAGUAGCUGGUUUGAGAGGAUGAUCAGCCACACUGGGACUGAGACACGGCCCAGACUCCUACGGGAGGCAGCAGUGAGGAAUCUUGGACAAUGGGGGAAACCCUGAUCCAGCCAUGCCGCGUGAGCGAUGAAGGCCUUAGGGUUGUAAAGCUCUUUCAGUCGUGAAGAUAAUGACGGUAGCGACAGAAGAAGCCCCGGCUAACUCCGUGCCAGCAGCCGCGGUAAUACGGAGGGGGCUAGCGUUGUUCGGAAUUACUGGGCGUAAAGCGCGCGUAGGCGGACUAUUAAGUCGGGGGUGAAAUCCCGGGGCUCAACCCCCGGGAA
rnacentral:rRNA from 1 species